GACGAACGCUUGCGGCGUGCCUAAGAAAUGCAAGUCGAGCGAAGUUCAGGGGUGCUUGCACUCCGAAGACUUAGCGGCGAACGGUCGCGUAACACGUAAGCAACCUGCCCUAAAGUUUGGGAUAGCCCACCGAAAGGUGGAUUAAUACCGGAUGUGUACAAUUUUUCGCAUGUUAAAUUGUUUAAAGCAGCAAUGCGCUUUAGGAUGGGCUUGCGGCCUAUCAGCUAGUUGGUGUGGUAACGGCUCACCAAGGCGACGACGGGUAGCUGGUCUGAGAGGAUGAUCAGCCGGAUUGGGACUGAGAUACGGCCCAGACUCCUACGGGGGGCAGCAAUUAGGAAUCUUGCGCAAUGGGCGAAAGCCUGACGCAGCGACGCCGCGUGACUGAUGAAAUCCUUCGGGAUGUAAAAGUCUUUUCUGGUGAAGAAGGAUGUGACUGUAGCCAAGGAAUAAGCUCCGGCUAACUACGUGCCAGCAGCCGCGGUAAUAUC
rnacentral:rRNA from 1 species